rnacentral:rRNA from 1 species
GACGAACGCUGGCGGCGUGCUUAACACAUGCAAGUCGAACGGAAAGGCCCCCAUCUUGGUGGGGGUGCUCGAGUGGCGAACGGGUGAGUAACACGUGGGUGAUCUGCCCUGUACUUCGGGAUAAGCUUGGGAAACUGGGUCUAAUACCGGAUAGGACCAUGGUUUAGUGUCUCAUGGUGGAAAGAUUAUUGUUUUGGUGCAGGAUGAGCUCGCGGCCUAUCAGCUUGUUGGUGGGGUAAUGGCCUACCAAGGCGUCGACGGGUAGCCGGCCUGAGAGGGUGGACGGCCACAUUGGGACUGAGAUACGGCCCAGACUCCUACGGGAGGCAGCAGUGGGGAAUAGUGCACAAUGGGCGCAAGCCUGAGGCAGCGACGCCGCGUGGGGGAUGACGGCCUUCGGGUUGUAAACUCCUUUCGUUAGGGACGAAGCCGCACUUUUUUUGGGUGUGGUGACGGUACCUUUGUUAAGAAGCACCGGCUAACUACGUG